rnacentral:rRNA from 1 species
AACGAACGCUGGCGGCAGGCCUAACACAUGCAAGUCGAACGCCGUAGCAAUACGGAGUGGCAGACGGGUGAGUAACACGUGGGAACGUACCUUUCGGUUCGGAAUAACUCAGGGAAACUUGAGCUAAUACCGGAUACGUGCGAGAGCAGAAAGAUUUAUCGCCGAAAGAUCGGCCCGCGUCCGAUUAGCUUGUUGGUGAGGUAAUGGCUCACCAAGGCGACGAUCGGUAGCUGGUCUGAGAGGAUGAUCAGCCACACUGGGACUGAGACACGGCCCAGACUCCUACGGGAGGCAGCAGUGGGGAAUAUUGGACAAUGGGCGCAAGCCUGAUCCAGCCAUGCCGCGUGAGUGAUGAAGGCCUUAGGGUUGUAAAGCUCUUUUGUCCGGGAAGAUAAUGACGGUACCGGAAGAAUAAGCCCCGGCUAACUUCGUGCCAGCAGCCGCGGUAAU